rnacentral:lncRNA from 1 species
AUGGCUCCUGCAAAGAAGGGUGGCGAGAAGAAAAAGGGCCAUUCUGCCAUCAAUGAGGUGGUGACCCGAGAAUACUCCAUCAACAAGUGUCCCCUUGGGCACUCUAAGAGAUUCGAAAAUUUGCCAUGAAGGAGAUGGGAACUCCAGAUGUGCACAUUGAUACCAGGUUCAACAAAGCUGUCUGGGCCAAAGGAAUAAGGAAUGUCCCAUACCAAAUCCAUGUGCGGUUGUCCAGAAAACGUAAUGAGGAUGAAGAUUCACCAAAUAAGCACUAUACUUUGGUUACCUAUGUACCUGUUACCACGUGAAAAAAUCUACAGUCAAUGUGGAUGAGAACUAA